AACGAACGUUUGGCGGCGUGGAUUAGGCGAUGCAAGUCGAACGCGAAAGGGGUAGCAAUACCCCGNGUAAAGUGGCGAACGGGUGAGUAACGCGUAGGAAACCUGCCUUCGAGUGGGGGAUAACAUUCCUAACGGGAUGCUAAUACCGCAUGUGACUGCGUGAUCGCAUGGUUGUGCAGUCAAAGGUGGCCUCUGUUUACAAGCUACCGCUCAAAGAUCGGUCCUGCGUCCCAUUAGCUAGUUGGUGGGUAACGGCCUACCAAGGCGACGAUGGGUAGCCGAUCUGAGAGGAUGACCGGCCACACUGGGACUGAGAUACGGCCCAGACUCCGUACGGGAGGCAGCAGUCGAGAGGCUUCGGACAAGUCGGGGAAACCUGACCGAGCGACGCCGCGUGGGGGAUGAAGGCCUUUGGGUUGUAAACCCCCUGUCAUGAGGGAAGAAACGUCACCGUUCGAAUAGGGCGGUGACUUGACGGUACCUCAAGAGGAAGCUCCGGCUAACUCCGUG
rnacentral:rRNA from 1 species